rnacentral:lncRNA from 1 species
AUUCUCCUUUCCCUCCUCUCCAUCUCCCUAUUGCAUUGUGUCUGACUGAUUUUCAGAGCACCUUCGCUGUUUCCCCCUUCUCGUUCCCUUCUCAUAAAAUAUCUAGACAGGAAGGAGGUGGCUGCAGAGGCUGAACAAUCUCAUAUUCUGCCUGCAAUGUCAUCGUUUCUUUCCCCCAUUUUAGGGGGCUGAAGUUGCCCAGCAAGGGAUGCAGAGGAGCUGGAAAAGAAGGGGGGAGCUCUCCAGAGGCAGCUGCGGUCAGGGGCAGGGACUGCCGCCAGAUGUGCCUGCCUUUCUGGGCUUUGAUGAGAAAGGGGCAGCAGGAGGAAAUAUUGGGAGACAAAAGCCCCGGUUUAAAUGAUCAUUUUCUUUAUUUAACAUGGCAGCAGACACUCUCUGCGUAGGAUCAUCAUGCCGAGCAUAAACUGGACUUUCCCACUUGCCUGGCAGGAGUCACACAGAUCCCUGCGUGCUAAAUGAACAUCUGAGGUUUGAGAUGGGGCCCAAGAUGCUUUUCUGACAAGUUUCCUGGUGAUGCAAUGUUGCUGUUGGGGAAACCUCCAUUUGACCCUUGAAUCCUGACUAUUGGAGAAACAGCACCAUAUUUUGGAUACUGAUUCAGACCAUAUACAGCCUUCUGGAGAAUCUUGCCCCAGUCCUGAAAGGUAUUUCUAUUCAUCUAGUUGGUGCUAUAACUGAGUCUUCAAAAGACAAUUCCACUGUUCUAUCAAGAAAGCUGCUUCAGGAUGGUGGGAAAUAUGGUUUUGGUAUCAGGAUGAUGCUGGCAUCAUAAAAUGAGUAUUUUUCUUCAGACUUCAGACUGCUGUGCUGGAAGCAAGAAUUUCAAGCAUUGGAUCUUAGCUUGCUGGGCUCCAUAGGGGUGGGAUCCACUGAGCUAGACCACUUGGCUCCCUGGCUUCAGCCCCCUUCCAGAUUCAAACUAAUGGUGUCUCACCAACACAUGGCAUGAGAACACCUGUAGCAAUCUGUUUGACAGUCAUUCACGAGCAACUUAGAAUUGCAAGAAAGAUGUCCUUGGCGUGUACACCCUGUGGAAUCUGGUUCAUCUUCAAUCUGUCAGAAGGCAUCAGAGGUGGUUUUGACUCCUUAUGUCUUGGACCUGUGCACAAAAAGUGUAAAAUGGAUGGAACAUCAGACAGCUCAUUAUAGAGACAAGUAAGCUCCAGUUCCAAAGUUGGUUGACAGAACAAGUCAUGACCUUGUGUGGAGGAAAAUGAGAUCCCGAGUGAAGUCUACAAUGUCAUUGACUCUGAAGAAGGACUCAGAGACCCAUUGGUGUUUAAUGACCCUUACUGGCCUAUGCAAUGGAAACUGAUCUUGAGUGUGCCUUAAAAUUCCAUUUCAUGGAGAACUGUGCGUGGUUGAAUUUUGAUUGAUUACUCAAUUAACUGAUGUAUUGGUAGAGUGAUUAAGAAAGAAGACUUUGGGAUCAGACCAACCUGGUUUUGAAUUCAAGCUCAGCAACUUACUAGGUAAGGAGGAGAAAAGAAAGAAGGAAAAAUUGGAAAGAUAAAUGGGGUCUUUCCAGUGAAGCUGCAGUUAUGGCAUUAACCACCCAGUUGUUACCUACUUCUAGAUGAAAGCUCAAUUUUCCUACAUAAUUAAGAGUUUGGAAUUCGGGCAAUAUCAAGAACCACAUCUGUCCUGAAAUCAAUUAUCUCUGUUUGAAACACAAGAAAUAAGAAGACCAUUUUGAGAAGAACAGAGAGUAGCCUUAAGAAAAUCCCUGUCGCAAGCACUCUGGGAUUUGGACUCAAAUGCUAAUUAUACAGAACCACUUGGGUGCCCAGCUGCUGUCCAUUCUCUACACUUAUCCCACCUGAUGGAAGGCUGUUAAGAAAAACAUCACUGCAAUGCCUAAUAAACAGACAUGGGUCCCAGACCCAAUAAGAGUGAAACCAUCCCCCUAUUUAAAUGAAAUUAUGGCUGAUGAGAAAGACAAAUUAAUUUCUCUGUCCCUAGUAUUACACAAAACUUUGGAUGCUGCCAUUGUUACAAUUUUAUUUUCCCCAGGAGCUCAGAGUCCCACCUUCAUUCUUUUUGUUUAAUGCUUAAGCUUGCCUGUCCACCUAUGGAAGACUAGAAUGAGCAAAGACCAUGUAUUCAAUGAUCUGUAAAUCUAACAGGAAACAAUAUAAUAAAUAUAUUGUGUUUGCUAACCAAAUCUGUGAAUGAUUAGAUCGACUGGUUAAUGAUUAGAUGGAUUAACACAUCAUUUCUAUUUUCUCUCUCCUCCCCUACUUCUUGUUUUAAUGAUACCUUCCAAGUUUUAUUUCUCCAAGCCUAACCCCUUACAUAAUACAAGAGGACAACAGUUUGCAAAAUAAAUAUCUGUUGGCCCUAACUGGUAAAUACUGAAAUAGAUUUCAAGUAAUGUGAGUGUUUUUGAAACCACCUAAAUCUGUAAGCCACCCUGCAAGGAACAAGGGUAGCAAAGUGAAUAAGCCAGACAUGUAAAAAUAAAGAUGACAAAAUGGAAGGCAAUUAAUGCCUGUAAUGGAGGUGGGGAAGGGGGGAAUGACAAGUUAAUAAGAAAUUUAUUUUUAAAUGCUAUCAUCUGCCAUAAAAUAUCCAUGCUUAUUUUAGAAAAUAUGUAAAAUGUUUAAGAAUUAAACAUCUUUAAAAAAAUCACAUGAACUCAUCACCCUGCAACAAAACACACACAGAUGAGUGCACACACUUAAACACACAUUAAUUUUCAAUUAGUAUAUAAAGUUAAUAUCCUGCUAAGUACAAGAUACUAUAUCAUGAGCACUUUGUCUC